AUGUCAGAGACGCAGUCGCAGUCUGUUGAUGGCACUGAACCUGUCACGCAACCGGAGGAUGUGCCUCUUCAGCUUCUCCUGGAGGACCAACUUAAGAGGAAGAAGCAAGAAGAUUUUGACAAGAAGAGGGUGGCCCGCCUUGAGAAAGGUUCUGAUGUUCCUGGAUCUGUUCAUGCGGCUGAGCUCACUGUUGAGGAAGACGUGCAGUGUGGCAGUGAUGGCACGGUUGUCCCUGUUAAGAAGAAAAUCAAGAAGACCGCUGCGAGGAAGCUAGUAGUUGGUGAAGUUACUCCUCGGAGGAGCCCACGUGUUUCAAGGCCUACAGAAGUUGUUGAAGAUGAAGGGCUAGGCCUUGGUGGUACGCCACGCCGUAGUCCUCGUGUGCUUGCCACUGCCGCGCCUACACCUUCUCCGCUUGGUGCUGGUGCAUCUGGUAAGGGGAAGAAAUGCGGCGUGAAGCGCAAGGUUCCACCUGCAAAGGUCAACAAGGGUGUGAAGAAGCAUUCUCAUGUUAAUCCAGAGGACAAGGAUGAUGCUGAUUUCAAUGCUGAUGAUGAGGACGACGACGAUGAUGAUGCUGCCGCUAAUCAGUAUCAGCUUGUGGAGCGGCCUGAGAGGAGGAGGAGAGGAGGCAAAGCACCCGAAGAAGGUGACCAAGGAGGAGGUGAGGCGAAACGUUUUACCAAGACGGUUCGCUGCUCACUAGGAGAGGUCAAGACGUGUGCGAAAAUGCUAACACCUAGGCACAAGACGAGGGUUAUCAAGGCUGUUUUUGGUUGUGUGUUUGACUUGAAGGUUGAUUCCAACAUUUCUCGUCCUUUGAUGGGCAACAUCUACACGAGGAUUGACCCUUCAACCAUGAUUUUGGACAUGGGUGAGGCGAACAAGGUUAUACGUAUUACAAGUGAUGCUAUUCACCAUCUCUUUGGGUUCCCUCAAGGUAAUCGUACCCCCCCUAGGCCCUCGAAUGAUGGUUUCGAUGAUGCUGUUAUGAGGUUGAAGGGCAAGCUUGGGUAUGCUAGGAGUGACAACAUCAAGACAAAGGAUUUGCGGAAUAUCCUCGCCGAACUUGUGAAGGAUGAGACGAAGGGUGAUCUUGCUCUGCAAGUGUUUUACCUUAUUGUUUUCAUGAAGGUGGUUAUCCCUGGAACAUCUACACGAAUGUCCAGGGAGGCAGCAAUGGCCGAGAACCUUGUGUUUGAGGAUAUGGCAGACAUGGACUACUGUCAGUUGGUUGUUGACGAUAUUCGGAGUGCCGUUGUUAGGUAUCAGCAAGGUACUAGCAGAGGAAAAGCUGUCACAGGCUGUGCCAUCGCGCCGCUUCUUAUGUAUCUGGACUGCCUUAUCAUUGGCAAGACGCCUAAUAUUGACUUGAGGACCCCUCGCAUCAAUUUCAUGGAUCAGGCCAAGCUUCUUGAGCUUGCUGCGGCUGACUUGGUCACGAAGGGUGAUGAUGACCCAGCCAACUGGGUGUUUGGGAGACUGCCUACACAGGCUGAGGUUGUGUUCUUUAGGGUUAUUGAACGUCAGGUUCUAACUAUGCCUCGUUCUGCCGGCCUAGAGAGUGGAACUUCCGCAAGAUUUGAAUUCUCCCGGGAUGUUAAUACCGCUGCCAAUGUUUCUCUGGUUAGGAUUGACAGUCUUCUUGAAACUGUUUGUGGGGAGUUGGCUCGUGUUCCUUCAACUGCUGAGCGUCUUAGUCGCGUUGAUGGGAUUCUUCCUCCCAGACACGGAUUUGAUGUUGAGUCUUCGAAGGAGGUCUUAUCUAUUGAAGCUAGAUUUCUUGAAGAGCUUCGUCAGAGCACUUCCCACCUCCGGACUAGCGUUGGGCUGUUCAAGGAAAUGCAGUAUGCUCGUUGCAAGCCUUUUGAAGAUGAGGCAAGUGUUGUUGUGAGACAGAUUCAGAGGCAGGAUUAUGUUCGUUCGGGUCGUGAAGGAGGCCACGUGGAGCAUACCAAAGAGGCUGUUGAUGAUGGGUUGAGGAGGAUGUUUUACCUGCGCAUGAAGCUGCUCCUGUGCAUGAGGCUUCCCCUGUGCAUGAACCUGCUCCCGCUAAAUGAUGAUGUUAGUGUUCCUCCAGAGAAGGUUGCAGACAAUUCCGUCUCAGGCACCGGCUGCUCCGACGGGGUGGACCUGACUGAACCUCAGUCGUCCAUUGGCGCUGAGGUUUCUGAUGCUGAGCAGGGCAAGACAACUGGAGACAUCAUUUUGGAGAAAGAUCCUGUUGAGUCUGCUGUUGAAACUGGUGGUAGUGCUGCUGCAAGCCCGGAGAAGUCUCCCGCAGCAGAGCCAUCAGUUGAUGUUGAUGCUGUACAGGCACAACCAAAAGUUUUUCUUGUUUCAGAUUCUCCAGUUGCUCCAGCUACUACUGGUGUCCUUCCCGACGAUGCUGCAACAUCUACUGGAGACGAUGAUGAAGAGAGCGAAAGCGAUAGCUAUGGAGAGGAGGUUGAUCAUUCCAAUAGCGACCUUGCUGUCGUCCGAAAGAAGGUUGAUGACUUUAAUUACAGUGUAACUAGGCUUAAGAAUAAUCGUUCCAAGAGAUCAACGAUUAUGUUCCAAAACAAGGAGUGUGAAGCUUCUGUUGAAGAUGUUGCAAUAUCUUUUGGUCCUCGUGGAAUGCUUCGAUCUAAUGUGGCUGAGUGCGCACUCUACUAUCUACGUGCGAAGUACCAGGGAUCGGAUAAACUCAUCCUCCCGUAUUGGGUUUGUGUAAGUCAACCAUAUAGUUUCAUGGGUGGUGUUGGUCAUUGGGUUUCAAUAUUUCUUGACAUGAAGAAUUCAAGGUUCCAGCUUCUCGACUCCAAUUAUGGACCAGAAGAUGAAUGUGCGGUACGCCUGUUUUGGCGAAUGACCGACAACAUCAAGAAGCUUUGGAAGGAUGCCAGCAACGACAGGGAGACACCCUUCAGUCCUCUUACCAUCGACCAUUUCGCUCUGGAUUGGAUUGAUGUGCCCGAGCAGCAAAACAAUAUCGACUGCGGAUUCUUCAUGCUUACGAAUAUUAAUUCGUAUCAUGACGAGGUUCUUGCAAAUUAUUCCCAUGAGAAUAUCGCGGAUAUCAGGAAGACGUGGUUGUACUCAAUCGCUUCUUCUAACCUGUUUGAGACAGACUUCCAAGCUCUGUUUGGCUACUACACAUUGGAUCCGUUGGACUUGACCAAUUACCACUACUCAUUCCUCGGGUCACAGGAAUACCAGCCUAGGGAGGAAUCGAUGGGUACAGCUCCGAUAGAAGAUGAUAGACCUCGGACCCUUAUUCCUUCCAAGUUGGGGAAGCAGGCUGGUGGUAUUCGUGGUACUCCAAAAAACCCUUGCUCCAGGAAGGCUGAUGUAGUCGAAGCAGCCGAAGCAGAAGUGAUUUCGUCCGAUGAUGAUUUUGAGAAGAUUGCUUACCCGAAGAAUGUUAAAUGUGCUGCUGGUACUGUUGCUGGUAUAGGUGGGAAGAAUGCUGUCAUCACCAGGAGGAAACCGGCAGUUGAGUCUGGCAACAUAACUUCCUCCAAGAGAGCAUCAAGAUUGCCUUUGAAGUGGCAUUCUCCUAUCGCUCCCCUGAAAAAAUACAGUUACCCUCAUCUAUCCGAGGCCCGGAACUUGAAAUAGACAAGCUACUGCAUGUUUACCAUCCCUGCGAAUGUGAUUGACCUCACAGGACAUGUCCUUUAUACGCUUUUCGGUGAAGGGCAGCAGAUGGAAGGAGACAUAAUGGAUUAUCUCAUAAAUUUGUGGAAGGAUAAGCCGGAGAUCUCUGGGAUAUUCACUAGUGCUGACAGGGUUGUACUUAGUCCCUACUUCAUACAGUUCCAAAGUUUGAUGCAAAAAAAUCUGCUGGUCUCCUCCCAAUGUUUGUUCGCAAGGAAGAACCUUCUUAACGCAAAGCUGGUUUUCUUGAUUCUAUUCAAGCCAAUUGGCACAAUGGCGCACUACAGUGUGUACGCGAUGAAUAGAUAUCGUGGGAGCAUUGACAUCCUUGAUUCACUUCCUUACGAUAAUAUGGAAACGUCGCGAACGAGUUUCCACGGGGACUAUCAAAAUAUCAUCAAGAGAUUAGUUGGGUUGCUCGAGGAGGUGUACGGCAAGGUUGCGUACAAAGCGAGCAAGCAUCCUAACUGGGUGACUAUUGCAAAGAGGCCGACCUUUAUCGAUGUUCCAAAGCAGAAGAAUAAUGAUUGUGGUUUCUUUGCCGUGAAGUUCUGCUGUUCAUAUGAUGGCGAUGAGAUUGUUGAAGAUUUUGGUGAUGUGGAAGCUGCUGCAGAUGACUGGAAGGCUGAGUUCAUGCACACUCUGAUUUUUAGCGAGAAGAAUGAAGUCAUGCGUUCAGAGCUCCCUAAAGAGAUCCAGUCCUUUGGCCCGUGA
rnacentral:rRNA from 1 species